rnacentral:rRNA from 1 species
UACAGAGGUCUCAAGCGUUGUUCGGAUUCAUUGGGCGUAAAGGGUAUGUAGGUGGCGCGCUAAGUCGGGUGUGAAAUUUCGGAGCUUAACUCCGAAACUGCAUUCGAUACUGCCGUGCUUGAGGACUGGAGAGGAGACUGGAAUUUACGGUGUAGCGGUGAAAUGCGUAGAUAUCGUAAGGAAGACCAGUGGCGAAGGCGGGUCUCUGGACAGUUCCUGACGCUGAGGCACGAAGGUCAGGGGAGCAAACGGG